AGUCGAACGCUUCUUUCCUCCCGAGUGCUUGCACUCAAUUGGAAAGAGGAGUGGCGGACGGGUGAGUAACACGUGGGUAACCUACCCAUCAGAGGGGGAUAACACUUGGAAACAGGUGCUAAUACCGCAUAACAGUUUAUGCCGCAUGGCAUAAGAGUGAAAGGCGCUUUCGGGUGUCGCUGAUGGAUGGACCCGCGGUGCAUUAGCUAGUUGGUGAGGUAACGGCUCACCAAGGCCACGAUGCAUAGCCGACCUGAGAGGGUGAUCGGCCACACUGGGACUGAGACACGGCCCAGACUCCUACGGGAGG
rnacentral:rRNA from 1 species